AUGACCGCGGGGAAACAGAACCGCCAGCGUAUAAUACAACCCCGGGGGGAACACCGGAGCAGAAACGCAGAACCCGAUAGCACAACGUGGAACACGCUGAUGAAGUCAAUGACUCCUUACACCAGCAAGCACCAACCACACCCUCGUGCAGAUGAGUUUGUCACUAACAACCAAGACACGGCUGUACCAGCAUGCCAGCGGCAAAGCAUGAAGAGGGACAAUAUUCAGUCCUACACGCCAUGGCUUGCCGUCUCAGAUCCGUGCCAGCCAUCCAGCCCCUGCUCCGAUGAAAGCAAUGUCGAAGACGAAGAACAGCUGCAGAUCCUGAAGGCCAACAUCUUGAGGAUCCUGAAAAUACAGCCUCCUGCAUUUGCCCAGCAGAUGUAUACUUUGUCAGGAAUCAGGAUUGGGUUCGCUUGCAUCUUGAGAGAAAUUAUGGUGAACAUGGAUGAGACUCUCUUGGAGUCUUGGUUGUUCUCCGCUUGUUAG
rnacentral:rRNA from 1 species